rnacentral:rRNA from 1 species
UACGAGGGGGGCGAGCGUUGUUCGGAAUUAUUGGGCGUAAAGGGCGCGUAGGCGGUCGGAUAAGUCUUGUGUGAAAUCUUCGGGCUCAACUCGAAGUCUGCACAGGAAACUAUCUGGCUUGAGUGUGGGAGAGGUGAGUGGAACUCCUGGUGUAGCGGUGAAAUGCGUAGAUAUCAGGAGGAACACCUGUGGCGAAAGCGGCUCACUGGACCACAACUGACGCUGAGGCGCGAAAGCUAGGGGAGCAAACAGG